AGUCGGCAGAGAGAGAGCUCGCGGGUGGUUCCGGUCCGACUUUUCAGGCUGGACGGGUGCCUGCCCCUCAGGUGCGAGUUUGUGCGGUAAAGAACACACCCCGGAGAUGUGGAUACGGCUGCCCCAGGAGGGUCCUUGUUUGGGGGUGGAAAUCAACGAGAACUUGCCCGCCAGAAAAACAUGAAGAAAACCCAGGAAAUUAGCAAGGGAAAGAGGAAAGAGGAUAGCUUGACUGCCUCUCAGAGAAAGCAGAGGGACUCUGAGAUCAUGCAACAAAAGCAGAAGGCAGCUAAUGAGAAGAAGUCUAUGCAGACAAGAGAAAAGUGAUGACUGGCUAUUUGGAAAACUUGGGUGCUACUGCCAACUGGGUGUAUCAUAAGCUCUAAGAUCAAGAUUUUGUAGAGUGGACAGUCAUUACAUAUGUUAUAACUUA
rnacentral:sRNA from 1 species